CUACGGGAGGCAGCAGUAGGGAAUUUUCCACAAUGGGCGAAAGCCUGACGCAGCAACGCCGCGUGCGGGAAGACGGCCUUAGGGUUGUAAACCGCUUUCAGCAGGGACGAAUUCAGACGGUACCUGCAGAUGAAGCCCCGGCCAACUACGUGCCAGCAGCCGCGGUAACACGUAGGGGGCGAGCGUUGUCCGGAUUUAUUGGGCGUAAAGAGCUCGUAGGCGGCUUGGUAAGUCGGCUGUGAAAGCUCCGGGCUCAACCCGGAGAGGCCAGCCGAUACUGCCAUGGCUAGAGUCCGGUAGAGGAGCAUGGAAUUCCUGGUGUAGCGGUGAAAUGCGCAGAUAUCAGGAGGAACACCAGUAGCGAAGGCGGUGCUCUGGGCCGGAACUGACGCUGAGGAGCGAAAGCGUGGGUAGCAAACAGGAUUAGAUACCCCGGUAGUCC
rnacentral:rRNA from 1 species